AGCGAACGUUUGCGGCGGGCUUAACACAUGCAAGUCGAACGAGAAUCCCUUCGGGGAGGAAAGUGGCGCACGGGUGCGUAACACGUGGAUAACCAACCCAUUGGUUUGGGACAACACCGGGAAACUGGUGCUAAUACCAGAUGUGUCGCAGCUGUCUUCAGGCGGUUGCGAGAAAGGCCCGCAAGGGUCGCCAACGGACGGGUCCGCGUCCCAUCAGCUAGUUGGUGAGGUAAUGGCUCACCAAGGCAAAGACGGGUAGCUGGUCUGAGAGGAUGAUCAGCCACACUGGAACUGAGACACGGUCCAGACUCCUACGGGAGGCAGCAGUGGGGAAUAUUGCGCAAUGGGCGAAAGCCUGACGCAGCCACGCCGCGUGAGCGAUGAAGGUCUUCGGAUCGUAAAGCUCUGUGGGGGGAGAAGAAGAAAGCCCGGUGAAGAGCCGGCCCUGACGGUAUCCCCUUAGCAAGCACCGGCUAACUCCGUGCCAGCAGCCGCGGU
rnacentral:rRNA from 1 species